UUUCUCCUAACCUGUUUUUCCCUUUCUCCUAACCUGCAGGAAGCCUGGUGAUGGGAACCUCUCUGCUCUUGGCUUAGGCAGCUGCUCCCGCUGGCUUCUGGAGUUAAGACUUAGGUCUCCAAAAGUCUCUUCCUGAAGCACUGUGAGGCUCCCAAAGGUGAAUAUUAAUGAGCAGCGGUACCUGGGCUCCUCGGCACUUUAAUUACAGAACCCAGAUUAUGCUAAAGUGUGCGUAGGCAAAGAAGAAAGCAUGGUGCCUUCCUCGGCAAGCUUACUCUGUGCGUGUAAAAAAGAACCAUCAAGAGAGCAGCUCUGCUGGUAGGAAGAUGGGAGGAGACGAGCCAGGAGGGGAUCUGGAGGAGCUCUCUGCAGUGCCAGCGUGGCGGAAAGGCUGCGGCGCUCCUUGCACUGGGUACGGUGAGUGCUUUGUUGUGGAAGUGAGUGCAAUUGGUCGCCUUGGUAGUUUAGUUGCUCACAUACAGCACUUACUGUAAAUGUUAUUCUUGCUCUUGUUCCAAACUCACGUCUGAUGCCUCCACACCAAGAAGCAGGCACUAAUUUCAGAGAGAGUCCCACAUUUGGAGGUCUUCAAGUUAGCAUACUGAAU